AAAGUGGCCAGCACGGAGCCGGCCCUCAUAAAUUGUGGCUAUGAAGACAGGUCCUGUCCUUGUGCGGCUCCUAGUCCAAUGGGUGAGGGAGGCAGACGGGUGAGCAACUAAAAUCCAAUGCCAUGAUAAAGGAGGAGUUUGGGUAUAACAAAGAAGGGAGGGGCAGGCUGGGCGCGUGGGUGCCGCUCCAUAGGUGUUCACAGAUGCGGCCGCCGCGCCAGGCCUUCAUGCCUCCCCACAUCUCAGCCUGCCAAAGUCCUGCCACCCUUCAAGACCAGCUCCCCAGUUCUCCUAUCUGCCCCCGUGAUCUCCCCCAGUGAGCAUGGAUUCAGAGGCACUGGCAUCUGUGUGCUGUUCCCCGGAACAAGGCUGUGAGCUCCAGCUGAUAAUUCAAAUGGCAUUCACAGACAGGCAUCUGCACACUCACCCGGGCCACCUCUCCAACCUCCAUGGGCCAGUGGGUCCUUGACUCCCUACCCAGCAAGAGCCCUGGCCCCUCACUUCUUUCAAACUGCCUUGGCUGCUGCCAGCUGCUGGCUCACACCCCCGACUCGUGGUUUCUUACAGUCAUUCAGAUCGGGACCCCUGAAUCAGCCAGCUUUGAGUGCCUGGGUUGGCCAAAUGGCCCCAUUUUGCAGGGCUGCCUGUCUAACCCUCCACUCACAGCUACCUUACCGCUGGGAGGAACCUUGACCUGAGCUGCUCCCAUUCCCUUCCACCUUUGCCAACAAAACUCACGUUCGUGGCUCUUUGGCCUCUGACACCAACUGGAGCACAUUUGCACAGCACUUCACAGUUUGCAACCAAUCCAGCCUUCUGUCAGUCACUUAGGCUCUGAACUUCUCAGGGCCAAUCAGUCAUCCAUUCCUGUCUCCACCAAGUAGAAAGAGCAACUGUUCAGGUCCUAGCCCCUCUCCGUCACUUAUUUGCUGGGAGGCCUUAGGUUAGUUGCUUCAGCUUUCUGUGCCCCAGUUUCUGUAAAAUGGGAACAAUAAUAUUAUGGACAUCACAGAGGUCUUGUGUGGAUUCAAGGAGACAAUGCAUAUAAAACACUUAGGACAAUGCCUAGCACACAGUAAGUGCCCAAUAAAUGCCAGUGGUGAUUCCCCAGCUUUCUCAGAGGUUUACACAGGCUAUCUCCAAGCCCACGCUGCUGCGGCCCCACCUCCAGGCUUUUCCCCGGGCCCCAUUUCAUCUCAUUCCCACUGUUCAAAUUCUGUCUUUGGAAUCAGACAGACCUGGUUUUACUUUUUGUGCCAGUGAGUAUUUCUCUGAGCCUCAGUUUCUUUAUCUGUAAACUGGGACUGUGGAUCCCCACCUCAACAGGUUGAUGUGAGGAUCAAAUGAGAUGGGGGCCAUCGAAGUGCUUGUCACAUUUAAGGAUUUAUCUUGCCACAUCCAUAGAGCUCAGUAUGAGGCUAGUUUGGCUUGGGCCCAAGGGUGGGGUGGGUACAAGGGGAAGAGAAUGGCUGGGAAAACUAACACAGAUGCCAAAGAGGCCCUAGCAAGGGUAGCGAAACUCAGCAAGACAGUGCCUGAAGGGCACAGCAAGCUUAGGCAUGACACAGGCAGUGGGCACUGACAAGAGUGCUGAUUUGAUUCUGGGCCCAGCAGAAGCCACAACAUGAAGUCUUGCAGGAAUCUGGUCAUUCUCAGUGGGAUCCAGAUAUGUUUCCUGAAGGACUCAAACCUACAAGGAGGAUAUGAAGGAGAGACACUGGCUGAGAAGAGAUUCCUUUGGGUGGCAGUGGGGAGGCAGAGGUUGAGGAUACUGACAGCACUCUCUACCCAGAAAGAAGUGAGGUGGUGGUCUGGGGGUCAAGGGCCAAAGGACUUUCAAAAAUCAAUCCCUCUUUGUGACUAAGACCUGCCUGAAGAAUUUUCUGGUCCCUGGUCUCUCCCUGGAUGGACCUGUGUGGGUCCUCCCUGGAUGGUGCUUGGGACAUGGCAAGGCCUGAGACUGGAGGUGGGGAAAUCAGGGAACCAGAGUCGGUUUGAUGUGAGAUAUGCCUGAGCUUCAGCCUCCUGGAUGCUGUAGCAGCAGAGUGAGGGCAGAGCUGGGCACUAGAUGGCCUUGGGUACGGGAGGGUUGCUCCAGGAGCAUACAGGCAGCUGCAAGGCCGAGGUCCAGGCCUGGAAGCCAGGGGCCAGUCCACCUCAAGCCAGUCAUCAGGGUUCUCCAAAGCUCAACUGGUCUCUAAGGAGCUGCUCUGAUCAGGGAGUCAUCGGUCUAGAACAUUUAUGAAGCACCAGACACUGGGGCUGGGAAAGCAGAGGUGAAUCCUUGCUUUCCAAGACUUUGCAUCUCUAAGCUGAGGUAAUGGGGCACAGGCAGGGUGAGGCAUGGAGAUGGGGGUAGAGAUUUAUCUCAGCUCUGACACUGCUUUGCAUAAUACAGACUUUCCCCUCUCUGAGCCUCAGCAUCCUUGUCUGUACCCUGAGAGAAGGUGGGGGAAUCAAUGCUUUAUAAGGGCAUAUGAGUCUGAAAUGGUGAAGCGGGCUCAGCGGUCAUGAGAGGGGAUGAAUAGAGCCCGGGGUUUCAGAGCAGACUCCUGAAAGGUGUCCUGUCCUUCAGGCUCCCUGGCCUUCCCCCAUCUCCCAGGGAGGCCCUGCAGGCUGGACUACAGGGGCUGAGACCAUAUGCAAACCCCCCUUCUAGCCUUCCCUGCUGUGUAGUGUGGUAUGUCCAGACAUCUGCUUGCCCACCAGGCCUGAAGCACUUAGGUUUCGGCGCACAGAGGAGCAGCCAUGGAGAACUGAUGUGGCUUUUUCCCUUCUAGGCCCCAGACCCUCUCUGGUGACCAUAGGAGGCCAAUUAGCAGAGAACAAAAUGCUUCCUGCCCUGGGCCCUCACCUUCAACUGUCUGCAUCUGCUCAAAGCUUAAUGGUCAUUUGAUCUGCCUCUGGGGGAACAGAGGAUGGGGCUUCCGUGGACUGCCUGGCUCCAGGCAGCAGCCUGGGUCCUGAGGGAGGCGGGGGAGGAGGAGCAAGGUGCCUGUGGCUGCUGGGGAAGCCCAAGAUGGCAGCAAUACAGUUCACUUGGGGCCAAGGGCCAGUGUCUGGAGCUGUUCCUGCUGCCUAGCUGGGAACUGAUGCUCCCCAGGGUCUCCUCUGAACCUGUGCAAGGCCCUAGCUGGGCCCAAGAUGGUGGUGGGUGUAGCUGGUGGUGGGGGCGACAAUGAGCCCUUAGGGCAUCUUGGUUUAGGAAGCUGCCGAGGCCUGGACUUCUGAGGGACCCAGCCCUAUGCUUUUGCAGGUGGGAUGUGGUUAAAAGCCUCCAUCCCACGCUUUCCAGGCUGGUCUGGAAAACUGGUUUGUCUGCCCGUGUGCUGUGGGGAAAAUGCUCAGCUAGAAGGGAGAGAAGCAUAGUUCUGGUCGGGGCCCUGCCACUGAUGGGCUGCUUUGUGGUUUCUCCAUCCCUGGGCCUCAUUUUCCUCAUCUGUCAAGCAAGAAUCACUGCCCACCUUACAGAGUCAGCUGACACUGCUUGGAAAAGUGUCCUCAGAGAGCUCAGUUCUUACUGCUUUUAAGGAGUAGCAGAUUUUUGGAGGCCCUUACCCCACCAUUCCUGAUGUCCUGCUCUGAAUGACUCUGGAUAGACAGACGUCUGUGAACGAAGCAACAGCACGCGCAAAAGAUGGAGAUAUGAAUGUUCAUGACUUAUUUAAGACUAGCAAGUGACCCUGAGUGACUGGACCAUAUGGAAGAUAGGAAGCUGGAACUCAGAGAAGACAAGUGACUCGCCUAAGGUCACAUAGCCAGUAAGCAGCAGAGCAAGGAUUCAGAUCCAGGACUGUUGGACACUAGAGUCUGAAGUCUUUCUUUUAUGUUGUCUCCAACCAUCUCUCAGGAGACUCCAAUUCUAGACUGGGUCCCAGUCAGGGGCUCAGAGCUGAAAGCCCCUCUUUCAGACCCUUAUGUACAUACCCUGCGGGAGCAGCAGGUCUGGACCAGGCCAUGGUAGGCAUGGAACUCCAGCAGGAAUGUCAGCGGACUCCUGUACUGCCUGACCCAGGGCAUCCUUUCUCUCUGUCCCAGGCCUGUAGAGCUGGGCUUAUUUUCAGGGCUGGAUGAGUGGAUUUUUCCCAAUGGAGUGUGGAUAGUCCACAGUUGGGACAAAUGGAGGCCCCUCCCUCCCAUAGGAGAAAAGGGGAAAGGGGGAAGGGGAGCAGAGCAGCCUUCCAGAAGGGAUAGCUUUGCUGAGUUUCAGCCUAAUAUCCUGGAGCUAUUCCUAGGUAGAUUGUGGUCAGUGGAAUUAUGCUUUUAUCAGGCUGCUGGGAGUUUCAAUAAAAUCUUUAUGGCCUGGAAAGUUCUCUUUAUGGAAAUCAGAUUAUUGAGGUGCCUGCUGGGGGGAGGGCUUCACCAGCCUGCCUUGCUCCCCACUGCCUCCCUCCUUCCCUUCAGAACAGCUCCCCCACUCAGCUCCUUUCCUCCCCUCCCCACAAGCCCCCAGCUCCCAGGGACAUUUGAGCUCCUCACACCGAGACAUGAAGAGGGCUUUGGCAGGUAGAGGGGCACUGAGAGGGCGCAUCAAAGGUGCUAGUGGGACUGCAAAAUUAAUGCUGCAAAAUAGCCCACUCCCAUUCUCCCACCGUCACCCCCGUUGAAGAGCCCUGGUUUUGCCAUUUCUGGGUCAAUCUUCCUCUGCUCUUGGCUCCCUCUGUUGGCAGACCCAAGAUUCUGGGCCUUAGCACACAGCUGAGCCACUCCCCCCAUCCCCCCCCCCAUCCCCAGCCCUGCCCAUCUGUCUAGAGAGCCUUCCUGCCCGGCACCUUGUGGGGCCUGAGUUUGGGUUGAACCCCAAGGCAGUGUUGCUCCAGCUCUAGGGGAGCUUUCUUGAGAGUGCCCUGCCCUGUGGCUCUUUCUUGGGGGUGGAGGAGCAACUAUAGUUGAGGCCCCCCCCACUCCACCCCAUAAACUGCCUGCUUGGGGAGGGCCUGCCCUAGGAGGUUUUCCUUGUGGCUUUCUAGGAGGUUUUAAUUUAGCAAAAGGAAAGUGGUUUGGGCCGAAUGGUCUCUUUCAGGGCUAGAGUCUUUAAAAAGCCCUCUGAAAUGUGGUGCUUUUGCCUACCGAAGCUCUCUCACUGCCUGCAUCCCAGCAUCCUCCCUGGGAGAUCUUCCAUUAAGUUUCUAAUUCAAGAGGCAUCCUGUCCUCCGAGGAAUGAUUGAAGGACCUGGAAAAGAGAAGACUGAAGGGGCCAGAGGCUUUGUGUUCAGCCCUUUGACGGGCUGUCAUGGGACAGAGGAAGCCGAUGUGUUCUGUGUGGUUCCAGCAGUAGGGCUAAACCAUGCCCCUGUUGGUCUUUUUACCCUAUUAUCAUCUGGAAUCAUCCAAACAACAAUAUGAGGUGAGGAGUAUUGUCCCCAGUUUACAGAUGAGGAAACUAAGACCCAGGUCCACACAGCUAGGAAGGGGCGGGGCUGCCUUUCAAAGCCAGGUCAUCUGACAUCAAAUCUAGCAUUCUCCACAUCCUGACCAAUGGACAGAGGCAACAAGUAGGCAGCAUUGAGUUCUGCGUAGGCGGCCCUUUGGAGCCACCCCAGCCAGCAGCCCCAACGCCACCCAUGCACCGAUUUCAGCAACUGCCUGGAACCCACUCCCUGUUGGAUCCCAUCUCUCUUCCACCCCGACCCUGCUCUAGACCUGUACCCCAGCUUCGCAUCUGCCCCUGGCAUUUCUCUUUGCCUGGGGCCAACACUCAUUCUCCCCAGUGGACUUGCCCUCAGACUUUCCUCACUUUAGACCUCUCAGAACCGAACAGCCCAGGUAGUUUGCCUUGUGCUCCCAUCCUGUCCACUCUCGCCCUCUUGAUUUGACAAUAAGGAAGAACUUUCUAACAGAGCUGUCCAAGGAUGGACAGGUGGGGCUGGUUGCUCAGGGCCCAGGCAUUGGGUUGGGGUCUGUCCGAGCUGGGAAUCCUUCCAGUGAUUUCUCUUGAGUUAGGCAUGCAUUUUUCUGUGAGCCCUUCUAUGACUGUGUCCAGGUUUUACACUCACCCUCUUGUUUCCCAUUCUUUCUCUCUCUCCCAACCUCAGUCUCUCUUUUUUUGCCCUUUUCUAUGUGUUCUUUUCUCUUAUUCUCUCUUUAUCUUUCUCUGUGCAUU